GACCGCGUAGCUCAGUUGGUAGAGCAUUGGACUAGUAUUCCAAAGGUCGUAGGUUCGAAUCCCACCGUGGUCA